ACCAGACUCCUACGGGAGGCAGCAGUGAGGAAUAUUGGUCAAUGGGCGAGAGCCUGAACCAGCCAAGUCGCGUGAGGGAAGACGGUCCUAUGGAUUGUAAACCUCUUUUGCCGGGGAGCAAAAAGCGGUACGUGUACCGCAUCGAGAGUACCCGGAGAAAAAGCAUCGGCUAACUCCGUGCCAGCAGCCGCGGUAAUACGGAGGAUGCGAGCGUUAUCCGGAUUUAUUGGGUUUAAAGGGUGCGCAGGCGGCCUUUUAAUCCGGCGGAAAACGCCCGGGGCUCACCCCCGGCGAGCCGUUGAAACUGGCGGGCUGGAGUUGGAGAGAAGUACGCGGAAUGCGCGGUGUAGCGGUGAAAUGCUUAGAUAUCGCGCAGAACCCCGAUUGCGAAGGCAGCGUACCGGCUCCACACUGACGCUGAGGCACGAAAGCGUGGGUAUCGAACAGGAUUAGAUACCCGAGUAU
rnacentral:rRNA from 1 species